AAAUUGAAGAGUUUGAUCAUGGCUCAGAUUGAACGCUGGCGGCAGGCCUAACACAUGCAAGUCGAACGGUAACAGGAAGCAGCUUGCUGCUUUGCUGACGAGUGGCGGACGGGUGAGUAAUGUCUGGGAAACUGCCUGAUGGAGGGGGAUAACUACUGGAAACGGUAGCUAAUACCGCAUAACGUCGCAAGACCAAAGAGGGGGACCUUCGGGCCUCUUGCCAUCAGAUGUGCCCAGAUGGGAUUAGCUUGUUGGUGGGGUAACGGCUCACCAAGGCGACGAUCCCUAGCUGGUCUGAGAGGAUGACCAGCCACACUGGAACUGAGACACGGUCCAGACUCCUACGGGAGGCAGCAGUGGGGAAUAUUGCACAAUGGGCGCAAGCCUGAUGCAGCCAUGCCGCGUGUAUGAAGAAGGCCUUCGGGUUGUAAAGUACUUUCAGCGGGGAGGAAGGUGUUGUGGUUAAUAACCACAGCAAUUGACGUUACCCGCAGAAGAAGCACCGGCUAACUCCGUGCCAGCAGCCGCGGUAAUACGGAGGGUGCAAGCGUUAAUCGGAAUUACUGGGCGUAAAGCGCACGCAGGCGGUCUGUUAAGUCAGAUGUGAAAUCCCCGGGCUCAACCUGGGAACUGCAUCUGAUACUGGCAGGCUUGAGUCUCGUAGAGGGGGGUAGAAUUCCAGGUGUAGCGGUGAAAUGCGUAGAGAUCUGGAGGAAUACCGGUGGCGAAGGCGGCCCCCUGGACGAAGACUGACGCUCAGGUGCGAAAGCGUGGGGAGCAAACAGGAUUAGAUACCCUGGUAGUCCACGCCGUAAACGAUGUCGACUUGGAGGUUGUGCCCUUGAGGCGUGGCUUCCGGAGCUAACGCGUUAAGUCGACCGCCUGGGGAGUACGGCCGCAAGGUUAAAACUCAAAUGAAUUGACGGGGGCCCGCACAAGCGGUGGAGCAUGUGGUUUAAUUCGAUGCAACGCGAAGAACCUUACCUGGUCUUGACAUCCACGGAAGUUUUCAGAGAUGAGAAUGUGCCUUCGGGAACCGUGAGACAGGUGCUGCAUGGCUGUCGUCAGCUCGUGUUGUGAAAUGUUGGGUUAAGUCCCGCAACGAGCGCAACCCUUAUCCUUUGUUGCCAGCGGUUAGGCCGGGAACUCAAAGGAGACUGCCAGUGAUAAACUGGAGGAAGGUGGGGAUGACGUCAAGUCAUCAUGGCCCUUACGACCAGGGCUACACACGUGCUACAAUGGCAUAUACAAAGAGAAGCGACCUCGCGAGAGCAAGCGGACCUCAUAAAGUAUGUCGUAGUCCGGAUUGGAGUCUGCAACUCGACUCCAUGAAGUCGGAAUCGCUAGUAAUCGUGGAUCAGAAUGCCACGGUGAAUACGUUCCCGGGCCUUGUACACACCGCCCGUCACACCAUGGGAGUGGGUUGCAAAAGAAGUAGGUAGCUUAACCUUCGGGAGGGCGCUUACCACUUUGUGAUUCAUGACUGGGGUGAAGUCGUAACAAGGUAACCGUAGGGGAACCUGCGGUUGGAUCACCUCCUUACCUUAAAGAA
rnacentral:rRNA from 1 species